rnacentral:misc_RNA from 1 species
UACGAAGGGGGCUAGCGUUGUUCGGAAUUACUGGGCGUAAAGCGAGUGUAGGCGGCUACGUAAGUCGGUUGUGAAGGCCCCGGGCUUAACCUGGGAACGGCAUUUCGAACUGUCAGGCUAGAGUGUGGUAGAGGGUAGUGGAAUUUCCUGUGUAGCGGUGAAAUGCGUAGAUAUAGGAAGGAACACCAGUGGCGAAGGCGGCUACCUGGACCAACACUGACACUGAGGUGCGAAAGCGUGGGGAGCAAACAGG